rnacentral:lncRNA from 1 species
AUUGGUACAAUUUUAAAUUUUCUAUUAAGAUAUCUAAUUGUCACCAAUUAAUGAAUGCUUAUAUACUUAUAUUGGAGAAACUGAAAUUCCAACUUUAUAUGUCUCUAUGAACAAGCUAAAUGAAUAUUUCGAACAAUUAUAUAAUUAUUAUGCAAAUGAAUGCGAUGCUGCUGCUCGUACUGUAGGCAAUGUUACUCCCACUAUGUACUGUACCACUUCUGCUACUGUGGAUGAUGAAGAAGGUCUUGAUAGUUUUAAU